GUAUACACGCGAUAGAAAAGGCGUAUUUUUUUCUGAAAAAAAAAGAUAAGAUGAACGAAGAAACGUGUUGCUUAGUAUAAAAUAACACUUUCCACAAAUUUACGAAUAAUUAAUCAUUGUAAUAACAAAGUAAUUAGGCGUUUUCUGCAAUUAUUGAGUUACUGCCUUUUCAUGAAUAUGGAUGCAGGAAGUGCGUAAUCAACCUCAACGCGCAUGUCCGCGGGAAAUCAGAUGGAAGAAAAGGCACAUGUACAUAGAAGAAAUGACAGAUGAGGAAAAGAAAGAAUUGCUAAUACAGCUAACAUUUCUUCCAAAACAUUGAUUAUGCAGCAGUUCUGACAAGGAGGAUUUAAUCCUCAUCCCUAUGAUCAAACACAGUUGGAGGCCAGCUGUUUAGAUCUGCCUAAACAGAUAGAGAGCCAAAUGGGUGCCAGUCUCAGUACCCUGAUUUCUACUUCUAGUCCUUCAUGAGUUGGUGCUUCACAUGUAUGCUGAUUACAACAAGGGUAUGCUGCAUAUUAGAAGUUUUAUCCUCCGAGAUCAUGGGUGCCUUGGUGUUGGAUUGAGGCGGAUCAUUCGAAAGUUGUGUGUGGGCAAUACAAGAUAAAUACUCAGACCAGUAUAGGCAGUAUACUGGAUAUAUUCCAUCGAGACUUCAGAAUUUUUGUUUUCUAUGUUGAGAAAAUAAUUA